GACGCUGCGGGCAGGUCCUGAAUUUGCCGGCGCGCCCUCUGAGGGCGCGCUUUUUUUCGCGGGUUCGGGUCCCCAUGCGGCGUUGC
rnacentral:tRNA from 1 species